UACGAAGGUGGCAAGCGUUGUUCGGAUUUACUGGGCGUAAAGGGCGCGUAGGCGGCGACUCAAGUUAGAUGUGAAAGUCCUGGGCUUAACCUGGGGACUGCAUUUGAUACUGGGUUGCUUGAAUUCGGGAGAGGAUAGCGGAAUUCCCAGUGUAGAGGUGAAAUUCGUAGAUAUUGGGAAGAACACCGGUGGCGAAGGCGGCUAUCUGGACCGACAUUGACGCUGAGGCGCGAAAGCGUGGGGAGCAAACAGG
rnacentral:rRNA from 1 species